GGGCGUCCGAUGGCGGAGUAUGGGUUCUAAUCCUAUGGUUGUUGUGGCUUUCUCGUGAGUGAUUGCGUGCUUUUGUUGUCUUUUUAUGCCGUUUUUAUCGUCUUUUGCCAGAACUUUUUCAUCAGGUUUUGUCUUCUUUGAGAGGCACUUUGUGUACGUGUCGCCAUCUCUUCGUCACAGAGCUUAUAGAGUUUGAGUUCUACGGUUCAUGUACCAAAAAUUGCUCAGGUGUCUUGAUCUUGUGGAGGGCAUGUGUGUAAGAAUGUGGGCCGUUUGAUCUAAAGAUUUUUGUCUUUUUCCUUUGGCUUAUUCAGGAAGGUUGGCCAUUGCUUUGCAGCUCACCUCUCCUCACUCAAAUUGUUCUCUUGGAAUCAAAGAAAUUUUACUUACAAAAUCGUAUCAAUUGGGCAUUUUUUUUAUGCCGUUUGUCUUCUUGUGAGCAUAACUUUUCCAAGUGUCUUCUUCUGUCGACGGCGUGUUUGCUAGAGUCGAAGCUGUGCUCUACGAUGCAUGUAUAUGUUAUUAUGGUUUGCAAAGCUCUAGAUAUUUUGUAGGGGGUUUAUUUGAUCUGAAGUUUUAUUUGGUUGGGCUACUUUCCGUUGUGGUGUGGGUUCCUUUCGAUUGGGCUACUUCCCGUUGUGGUGUGGGUUCCUUUCGAUUGCUCAGGCAGAUAGAACAGGAGUGGAAGAUCAGCCUACAGCAAAAUGACGGCUAUCUUCAGCUAUAGUUAAGGUAAAGUAUUGAUGUUGUCGAGGAUUGGUUGAAAUUGAUUCAUUUUGGAGUAUAGUAUUUACUUUCAUAUUAGUCCAUGUUUUAAAGGGUUCACUCAAUAUCUAUUUAGUUUUGUGGGUAGAAAACUAACAUUGUUAUGCUAUUAGUUGUUAAAUUUCUCAGCAAGGAUUCGUAAAUGUUUAACAUCAUUGCAGGCGGUUCUCAAUGGAAAACACAUUGGUGGCUCUGCCACUUCCCAAUGGUUAUGAAGCAGUUUAUGCAUAUUGUCCUCUGUGUGUGGUCAUUCCCGAUUGAAUCAAAUCAAAAUUCUUGCACAUGAGAAUAGUCUUAUGUCAUUCAUUUCUUGGCUGCAGAUUCUCAGGAAUGAAUUUUUAAUGGUAUUGAACAUCUUAAGAAAGAUAUCAGUUACUAUG